rnacentral:rRNA from 1 species
AGUGAACGCUGGCGGUAGGCCUAACACAUGCAAGUCGAACGGCAGCACAGUAAGAGCUUGCUCUUCCGGGUGGCGAGUGGCGGACGGGUGAGGAAUACAUCGGAAUCUACUUUUUCGUGGGGGAUAACGUAGGGAAACUUACUCUAAUACCGCAUACGACCUACGGGUGAAAGCAGGGGAUCUUCGGACCUUGCGCGAUUGAAUGAGCCGAUGUCGGAUUAGCUAGUUGGCGGGGUAAAGGCCAACCAAGGCGACGAUCCGUAGCUGGUCUGAGAGGAUGAUCAGCCACACUGGAACUGAGACACGGUCCAGACUCCUACGGGAGGCAGCAGUGGGGAAUAUUGGACAAUGGGCGCAAGCCUGAUCCAGCCAUACCGCGUGGGUGAAGAAGGCCUUCGGGUUGUAAAGCCCUUUUGUUGGGAAAGAAAAGCAGCAGGUUAAUACCCCGCUGUUCUGACGGUACCCAAAGAAUAAGCACCGGCUAACUUCGUG